UACGGAGGGGGCUAGCGUUGUUCGGAAUUACUGGGCGUAAAGCGCACGUAGGCGGCUUUGUAAGUUAGAGGUGAAAGCCCAGGGCUUAACCCUGGAAUUGCCUUUAAGACUGCAUCGCUAGAAUCGUGGAGAGGUGAGUGGAAUUCCGAGUGUAGAGGUGAAAUUCGUAGAUAUUCGGAAGAACACCAGUGGCGAAGGCGGUCUGCUGGGCCAAGACUGACGCUGAGGCGCGACAGCGUGGGGAGCAAACAGG
rnacentral:rRNA from 1 species